rnacentral:lncRNA from 1 species
UAAGUCUCUGCCAAGGAAACCAUUACCAAUACGACACACUGAGGCGAGCAAAACACUCUUCCAUGAUGAUUCUCUAUCAUCUCCACAACCCAACCGUCCCUGCAUUUCCAACGGCGUGCGCCAUCUGCCAGCAAGAGCUUGAACCUGCUCAAGGCUGGCGCUGCGAGGUUUGUCCUGACUAUGAAGUUUGCAGUGGUUGCUACUCAAAGGGCAUCAACCAUCCACACAGCCUCAUUAGCCGACCAUCUGGGACUGAUUCUGUGGUACAGAACACACAAACUAGUCAAAUCCAGACAGCACAGGUAAUUAAAUGUCUUUUAAAAAUUGCUUCUCCUUUUUCCUCAUUUGCUAAUACAGUUUUUGGCACUUGCAGUUAACAGACCUGCUGCUACACGCGAUGACAUGCUUCACGGCGCAGUGCCAGUAUCCAAGGUGUCGCAUGAUUAAGCUUCUCUUCAGGCAUGGUGUUGCAUGCAAGAACAAAAACUCCUGCGUUCCUUGUAAGAGAAUGUGGGCCCUCUUAAGAAUGCACGCCAGAAACUGCAGAGAUCCACAGUGUAGAGUACCCAAAUGCAGGUACGUGAAUCUAAGCUACUUAGUUCUACUAGUUAAAAAUGACUUUUCUUCAAGAAAAGUUGAUGAUUUUUUUCUAAUGAUGUGACAUUGUGACAGAGAGUUGAGAGCUCAUUUUAGUAGAAAGCAACAACAGGCAGAUUCAAGACGCAGAGCAGCUGUGAAGGAGAUGGUGCGGCAGAGAGCCGCUGACGCAGCAACCUCCACUUCUGACUGAUUAACAUAAAGACAAACAUGUUCUAUCUCUCGUCUAUGUGAUUAAGGGGUGGUGCCUUUUGAGCUCGUGCUUAGAAGAAAGGUGCAAAUGGAGAAAAUAUCACAGAGGAAAGCCACUUUAGGAGGUCAAGAGCAAACGAGACUCUCUUACACAGCUACUACUAAUUUAGGUUCCACAAGGAGGUACAUAGUUAGAUGUUUUAUUAUUUACCUGGUGUAUUCUUAAGCUACAGACGAAUGUGUAUAUGUGAUUUUGAUUCAAACUUUAAUGAAUCCUAUUGAGUUGUUGGGUCUUAACCCACUCUUUUGAUCCCUUCGUUUUGGCAAAGCUAUAAGCUAAUAAAAUAUGUGAAAAGAAUGUCGUUGUAAGUGUGUAAAUAAUAACUUUAUUUGUAAGACUUGCAACAACUUUAACACUUUCAACCACAUUCUUUUCACAUAUAUUUUAUUUUUUAACAUGUACACUGAUUAAGCCCCAAAGCUAAGCCGGGAAUAAUAAUAAUAUGAUCAUGUUGAUGCACACAGCUUCCUAUGGCUCUUGGUUCUUAUGAAGUCAGUCACGCUUUUUACAGACAAAACAGAACUUCUACAAGCUUAUUACUUAAGAGGAGUUGUUGUUGUUGUUGUCGGGGAGGAACAGAUAUCUGAAACGAGAAUCAAAUGGGAGUAUUCCACAGUUACGUGAGGGGAGAAGGCUUUGUCUUCUCUGAGAGAUGCACUGUUCCACAAAAGCUGCUUGAUUUGGUGGAAGGUACUUCGCUAUCCACACCCCCAAGUUUGAAUCCUCCACCAAGCUCUUGGCGUAACAAUGGAUCAUUUUAGGUACCAAGAGCUUCCCUUUGCUGCUCAGCCCAACAGAUGCUUGUAUGAAAUCCCUUUGAGCUUCUAGUAGCUCUUCCUUCACUCCUUUGGCUGUGUAGAUCCUCACCUGCAACAAGAUGAUGCAUGAGAUGAGUUCACAUUCAAUAAGUUUAAGCCAAACCAAAAAGGAGAAUGAUAGUUUGCUUAGUUACUUACCGCAGGGGAAGAGUACAUUCCACAGCUUAAGGCAAAGGCAAGAAGAGGUUCAUGAGUAUCAAUGCUUGCUUUGCGUUGUUCUUCUGAUACUUUCAGCUUGUGAAUAGCAAGAAGCAGUGCCUACACAUCAGAAAAUAGAGUAAAUGCUAACAGAUUCUAAAAAAAAGACAUACAAAAGAACUAUGAAGAUGAGUAUAAGCUUAUAUACAAUUUGUGGCCUGUGAGUAGGAGGUUUCAUCUUCAGUAUCACAUACUCCAUUGCCGCCGCAGUGUAUGAGUGCCCUCCAACAGUAUAAGCAGCCUGUGGACCAAAACAUAAAGGAAUAAGAUAAGACAACAAAGGAACAAAACCAAAGUGAUAUGUAAACCUUUUGCAUCAAGGAGAAGAGCUUCAAGUCGCUUUUUGGGACACCAUAAGCCAAAUAAGCCUGCAUUAAAAGACCACCACAACUCUCAUAAAAACAUUCAGAAUGGUUCUUGAUAAUUAGAAGGAAAAAGAAAGAAACUAACAUGCAUGAUCAACGCGUUGUAAAGGUUAAUCCAGAAAGCUAGCUUCUCAUUGCAGCUCAAAUGAAUUGGGUUCACUCUAGCCAGUUGCUCCACAAGUGUCCUAAUUCACGGAAUCAUACUCUGAGCCUUAUAGUUUUAAUCAGAUUGAUAAGAAGAGGCUAAGGAAACUCCAUUUACCUAAACUUCCUCAGUGCCCCGGAAGCAUAUUCCAACUGUUUCUUCCCAACAGACAUCCAAGAAACCUCUGACGCCAAACUGUAGUUUCCAAUCUCUGCCCAGCUCAGCUUCCCACGAACUCUAUAAGGGUCAAAGACGUUUCCUGUGGCCAAGACAUCAGUGUUGUUUUGGAUAUCUAUUUGAGGGCUUUGCACCCAUGAAGAGAUCAUUGACCGUUCUGUUGAUGGCCACCAGGAUGAUGAGCUUGAUAGAUGCCCACGUGGUGAUACUGACACCGGUGAGAGCUGGCUCUCGUUUGAUGAUGCUUUUGAAGUUGCUGUCGGAUCAGCGAGAGACAUGAAGAUGUUCUUCAUGCAUCUCACCAUUUCUUCAGAUAAUAGAUUAGGGUGAUCCCACAUGAACUUAGGUGGCAUUCCUCUAGGUAGCUUCCUUGCAUUUGUCUUUCUCAUUUGCUUCUUCUCAAGAUAUUGAUUACUUGAGUCCAAUACCUCAUUGGUUGAUUCUGUGGGAGAUGACUCAGAAGAAGAUUCUUGGUUUUGGACUGGUUGGUCUUGACGUGGACUGUCUUCUGCUGAUUGAUGUGAUUCAGAAUCCAAAUAUAUCAAGGAAGAAGAAGAAUCCUGCAUAACUAAGACAUAGUUAUACACCAAUAUACAUUACAAUAAAAACAAGACAAAUGUUGAGAUACAUACUGGUGGAGAAGCCAUAUGUGUUAAAUGAUAUUCAGCUAGUCUUCUCUCAUUUCGUUCUUGGCUAAUUUGGAAAUUCAGUGACAUCAUCUCUUGCUCGAGCUUCGUGACUGCAGUCUCGAGCGUGGCUAUAUUGGAAAUAAGUUCUUGAGCCUGCCCCAUUUUGAGAAUCAUCAGCCAAACAAAAUGGUAAUCUCAAUAACAAUAGCAUGAGUUGAAGGAACAUACAGGAUGUGGAACACUACAAGAAGAAGAAGAUAGCUCCCAAGGAUCUUUCUCCAAGAGGCUCUCUAAAAAAGUAUGCAACUCUACUUCUUCUUGGAGUUGAAGUUGCAAUCUUUUUACCUGUAACAUAAAGCUUCUUUUAGAGUUAUAAACACUGCAAAAAUAUUUAGAGAAUAUGCAGACUCUUCUUGAGUUCAGAAGCUCACAUCCUCUUCAAGUUGGAAUCUAUAUGAAAAAGAUUGUCCACUUGUAGACUCUUGGGAAGUUUCUAUACCCUGUAAACAAAUGAUUCAAGCAAGCUCUUAUUGCUGUUUAAAGACUGCAUAAACUCACUCAACAGGUAUAAUCUGGACUGUGUAUGUUCAUACCUCUGACUUGGUUCCUGUGCCCCAUAAUGAACUGGAUCUGGUAAAAACAUUCAAGUCAAUUUAGCAAGGAGAAUUGGAAACAAAAUAUAGAAGUUGAAGAUACAUAGAAACAAGAAGAAAUGAUAAUUCUUACUUGGAUUUCAAAAGCUGAGAGUCGUGUUUAUGUCAAAAACUUCAAGGAGAAACAAAAAGAGAAGAUUGCUCUACUCAGACAAGCUGAGCCUAGUUUAGAUCAUAGACGCAAGGAAACCUUUCAGUCUAUGCGUGCUUCUAGUGAAAGAGACUCUGAAGCUCCAUCUGUUGUUGAUGAUCUGCAACCUUCUCCUAAGCGUGUGAAAGUAGAGAAACCUUCUCAAUUUGCUUAUCCUGACACACACAGCCUCCCACAGAGAAGAUCUGUUGGUGUCGGUAAAGCUCAUUUGUCAAUGAGUUUGCAAGAGAAGUAUAGUAGUCUACAGAGUGAUGUGCCGAUGAAUGCAGAUAGUUCUGAUUCCCGUGAGCUGGAGAGGCCUGUUUGCAAAGAUACCUCCAUGAGAAGACAUGGUGGAGACUCUUCACUGAAUGGUGAAACUGUUUAUUCACCAGAAACAGAGAAAUCAAAACGUAUGAAAGAACUAAGCACACCUAAAGAAGAGAAAGUGGAACAGUCUGUAGCUGCGUCUAAUAGCGGUAAGUCAAAGAUCAAGGGAGUCUCAUUGAUAGAGCUGUUCACUCCAGAGCAAGUAGAGGAGCAUAUCCGCGGUCUUCGUCAGUGGGUAGGCCAGGUAAGCUUUGCCAAACUCUUAGAUGCAACUCUUGUUUGAUAAGAAAGAUUUACCAAGAAAAUGUUUUCUUUAUGUUGUUGUCUGAAUCUUUAUUUCAGAGUAAAACCAAGGCAGAGAAAAACAAAGCAAUGGGGCUCUCCAUGUCUGAAAACUCCUGCCAGUUAUGUGCUGUUGAAAGGCUUGCAUUUGAGCCAACACCUAUAUACUGCACACCUUGUGGCGCACGUGUCAAAAGAAACGCUAUGCACUACACUGUUGUGGUUGGCGAGUCACGGCACUAUGUUUGCAUCCCUUGCUACAAUGAAACGCGUACGAACACUGUGACUGUUGAUGGAACUCCUGUGCCGAAGGCCAGGUUUGAGAAAAAGAAAAACGAUGAGGAGGUUGAAGAAUCGGUACGCCUCUUUCAGCUUUUUUUGAAGCUAUGCUGCUUUACUCUCUCUCUUUUUUUCUGUUUCUGAUGUAAUGAUUAUGUGCAGUGGGUGCAAUGUGAUAAAUGUCAAGCGUGGCAGCAUCAGAUAUGUGCUUUGUUCAACGGCCGUAGGAAUCAUGGGCAAGCUGAGUACACUUGUCCUAAUUGCUAUAUACAAGAGGUGGAACAAGGAGAAAGGAAGCCAGUAUCACAAAGUGUUAUUCUGGGGGCAAAAAGUUUGCCAGCCAGUAAUCUUAGCAACCAUUUAGAACAGAGGUUGUUCAAGAAACUGAAGCAGGAAAGACAUGAGAGGGCUAGGGUUCAAGGAAAAAGCUACGACGAGGUAAAUUAUGCUUAUGUUUCUUGCCACAUUCAACCAUAUGAUGUUGAUUUAUAGAGAGAAAUAUCAAGUUGGGUUUACAGAAAGAUACAAAUAGCUAUUUAAGACGUGAAUCCAAGUAGAAUCGUCUGUAAUAUUUCUCAUAAUUUGUAAUAACAUAAUUAUUCAGACCGCGAAUGUUAAAAGACAAUCCAUCUACAUGUUUAGUGCAAUAUUGUCUUGUAAUGUUCUUUCCUUACAUAGCUAAGUUUUAGGAAGAUAACGAUCUAGUUUCUUUCUUUAUUGAUAUACCAGGUCCCGGGAGCAGACUCACUUGUUAUCAGAGUUGUUGCAUCUGUCGACAAAAUAUUAGAAGUAAAGCCACGCUUCCUUGACAUUUUCAGAGAAGAAAAUUACUCACCAGAGUUUCCUUACAAGUCUAAGGUACAACUUCUUGGUUCUUAUCUUCUAAUUAUGUUUUCCUUCUACUACAAGAUGCCUCUUGACUAUCAGCUCCUAUGCUAAGUUACAUGCAAUUUUCUUUCUUGCUUUCAGGCCAUUCUGUUGUUUCAAAAGAUUGAAGGUGUUGAAGUUUGCUUAUUUGGCAUGUACGUCCAAGAGUUUGGAACAGAUUCCGCCUCUCCCAAUCAGCGGCGUGUGUACCUUUCCUAUCUAGACUCGGUUAAGUACUUCAGACCUGACGUUAGAACUGUGUCUGGGGAGGCCCUCCGUACUUUUGUAUACCAUGAGAUUCUGGUAAGCUAUUUUUUCUUUUGAUCCCAGUUUUGCUUCCAGGCCCCUUGUGUUGCUUCAAAAUUCUUAUCAACAAUGGCCUUGUGGGGAUUGGCAGAUUGGUUAUCUUGAUUACUGUAAGAAACGUGGGUUCUCAAGCUGCUAUAUAUGGGCAUGCCCUCCUCUUAAGGGUGAAGAUUACAUUCUCUACUGUCAUCCUGAGAUUCAGAAAACGCCAAAGACUGACAAACUAAGGGAAUGGUAUGUAAUAAUAUUUUACUUGUUUUUUUUCUCCACCAUGAUGCAUAAUACCAAUUACUUUUUCAGGUAUUUAGCAAUGCUAAGGAAAGCGGCCAAGGAAAAAGUGGUUGUGGAAUGUACAAACUUCUAUGAUCAUUUCUUCGUCCAGUCUGGUGAAUGUAGAGCUAAGGUGACAGCAGCAAGGCUGCCGUAUUUUGAUGGGGACUACUGGCCAGGCGCCGCAGAGGAUUUGAUAGAUCAAAUGAGCCAAGAAGAAGAUGGCAAGAAGUCCAAUAGAAAAGUAAUGCCCAAAAAGGUCAUAUCGAAAAGGGCUCUUAAAGCAGUUGGUCACCUGGACCUUUCUGUUAAUGCCUCAAAGGAUCUCCUGCUAAUGCAUAAAGUAAGUCUCUCUCUGUUAUGCUUUUGCUGAAGAAAGAGAUGAUAUUAUAGCCACCUAAGGUUUCAUUGCUCUUUCUUCUCUGUAGCUCGGUGAGAUUAUCCUCCCAAUGAAGGAAGAUUUCAUCAUGGUUCAUUUGCAACAUUGCUGCAAGCAUUGUUGCACUCUCAUGGUGUCUGGACAUCGGUGGGUGUGCCACCAGUGUAAGAACUUUCAGAUUUGUGACAAGUAAGUUCUCACUUUUUAUUUGUUUAAUACUUUAACACAACUAUAUUAAUUUUAAAUUCCCACACUGCUGUAGAAAUAGCUUAGCCAAAAGACUUUUCUUUACUGAACUAGUAACGUUGGAUCAUUCUAAGAGCUUUCUUCUUUUACUAUAGGUGUCAUGAAGUGGAAAAGAACCGUGUCGAAAAGGAGAGACAUCCAGUCAAUCAGAGGGAGAAGCAUGUACUAUAUCCUGUAAGUUUCUAAUCUGUUUUAAGACAUUUGGUUUAAUCUUCAUGUUGGUUUGGACAAUGAAAAGAUUUUGGUUCUCUGCAGAUUGCUAUUGAAGAUGUUCCUACUGAAAUCAAGGACAGUGAUGACAUCCUUGAGAGCGAGUUCUUUGAUACAAGGCAAGCUUUCCUAAGUCUCUGCCAAGGAAACCAUUACCAAUACGACACACUGAGGCGAGCAAAACACUCUUCCAUGAUGAUUCUCUAUCAUCUCCACAACCCAACCGUCCCUGCAUUUCCAACGGCGUGCGCCAUCUGCCAGCAAGAGCUUGAACCUGCUCAAGGCUGGCGCUGCGAGGUUUGUCCUGACUAUGAAGUUUGCAGUGGUUGCUACUCAAAGGGCAUCAACCAUCCACACAGCCUCAUUAGCCGACCAUCUGGGACUGAUUCUGUGGUACAGAACACACAAACUAGUCAAAUCCAG